AGCAGCCGCGGUAAUUCCAGCUCCAAUAGCGUAUAUUAAAGUUGUUGCAGUUAAAAAGCUCGUAGUUGAAUUUCGGGACCAAUCUGCCGGUCGUGCCUCCGGUACGCACUGGUUUUAUUGGUUUCUCCCUUCUGACGAACCAUGAUGUCAUUAAUUUGGUGUCAUGGGGAAUCAGGACUGUUACUUUGAAAAAAUUUAGAGUGUUUAUAGCAGGCUCACGCUUGAAUACAUUAGCAUGGAAUAAUGAAAUAGGACGUUUGACCCUAUUUUGUUGGUUUCUAGGAUCGACGUAAUGAUUAAUAGGGAUAGUUGGGGGCAUUAGUAUUCAAUUGUCAGAGGUGAAAUUCUUGGAUUUAUUGAAGACUAACUACUGCGAAAGCAUUUGCCAAGGAUGUUUUCAUCAAUCAAGAACGAAAGUUAGGGGAUCGAAGACGAUUCAGAUACCGUCGUAGUCUUAACCAUAAACUAUGCCGACUAGGGAUCGGAUGAUGUUAAUUUUUUAAUGACUCAUUCGGCGCCU
rnacentral:rRNA from 1 species